rnacentral:snoRNA from 1 species
AAACUCCAGCAUCCUUACCCUUCAGAUCUAAAUAUUGGUCUGACUGGUUAGGAAAGGAGGAACAGUAAAUAUGAAGUGGACUUGGAGUCUUUAUUGACAAAAAGUUCAUUUCAAACAUAA